rnacentral:lncRNA from 1 species
UUGGAUUGGAAUUCCCAGGCAGGGAACUCCAGUUGAAAAAAAAAAAUCCAGGCUUUGACAUUAACCCGGUUUACAACAGAGUAGCUAUAAAUAACACAACCCUUUCGGUUUCUCCCAGAGUACCAGGAAACCAACGAUUUUAUUCUGAUUUUACGAAGGCAUGCACCAGGAUCUGGCCCUGUGUGUUUUUCAGCAUGAUCAACCCUACCAUUCAGCUGCACAGCAGAAAGAUGGGUUGUUUGGACACCUUGAGCUGCGUGGAGGACCGGGUUUAUCAAGUAGGUACAGGGUACGUGGGGUGGGGCAGUAGGGCUGGCCCCACGGCCUUCUGCAAUUUGAGUCAAGGGGAGAGGACACCCCUUUCCACACAGAGAAGCUGGUCAGAGUGUCUGUUCAAUCCAGUUUUGGUUAUGGGUGACGAAACAGGGCUCUUGGUGCAUUUGAGAGCUUUUGUGGGCCAGGAAAACGUGUGGGGCACCCAGAACCCUAUGGUUUAACAGGCAGCGUAUUCAAGGCUACAGGGCAAAUGCGCAGGGGAUGUGCUGAAACCAUGGCCACUCUCUAACAUUUAUCUGUAAUGUGUAGCAAAACAAACAGCUGGGCGAAUCACUCUGCCUCUUGGUAGGACCGGCCCCAGGUAUGAUGGGUGUGGAAUCGCAACGGAGAGCAACAGAAACUUACGAUGAUUUAUGAAAUACUUUUAAUGCUGUGCUAUGCUUUUUAGCAAAUUGUGCUUAUGUAUUGACAGAGUAGGCUGCGUUCUUGGUUUGCUUUAAGUGUAUUUGGGAUUGCCUUUUUUCAGUCUCUGUUUUUCAUUUGGGCAGUACGGUAAACAUACAAGGUCUGGCUGUAGGUUUUAUAAGAGGACUGCUUUUCUCCAGUGUUUGAAAGGUACUAACAAAUGCUACUUAUUUUGUUAAACCCAGCAUUCCAACUCUGUUCCUCCCUAUACGUUGCACAACCUGCUGUAACUUCUGACUGGUUUACGCAAGGUCUGCUGACUGUCACAUUCAUUUCCUUCUUUAUAUAUUUAUUUUACCCCACGUUUCUCCUACGAUGGACCCAAAACGGCUUAACAUGGUUGAAACGGCAACAUUUAAAAGCUAAAAACAGCAAAUACAUCAAUAUUUAAAAAGAAUUAAACAUGAGCCACAUUUUGAAAAGGUAAAUAAAAUCAGCACUAAAAACA